AUGGAAAGGAGACCCUGCCCAGGAGCUGAGCCCUUCCAGCGUGCCAGGAGAAUCCCCCUGGGGUGGGAAAUGUCUCUGCUGGCAUGGGACAAUUCUGGGGACGUGGGAGAUGGGGCCCAAAAGCCACUGGAGCAGGGGGAUCCAGCAGGAAAGGCUGGAGAAGGGAAGGAGACCUUGGAGAGCAUCUCCCACUGCUGUGGUGGUGACAUCCCUGGUUUUCCUUUUGGUGACAUCCCUGGUUUUCCCUUUGGUGACAUCCCUCAUUUUCCCUUUGGUGACAUCCCUCAUUUUCCUUUUGGUGACAUCCCUGGUUUUCCUUUGGUGACAUCCCUGGUUUUCACUUGGGUGACAUCCCUCAUUUUCUCUUUGGUGCCAUCCCUCAUUUUCCCUUUGGUGACAUCAUUAAUUUCCCUUUGGUGCCAUCCCUGCUUUCCCUUUGGUGACAUCCUUUAUUUCCCUUUGGUGACAUCCCCUGCCUUUCCCUUUGGUGCCAUCCUUGUUUUUCCAGCACUCCCAGAUGCCCCCAAGCCAUCCCAGCAGAAAUCCCCAUCCCAACAGCCCCUGGGUUAUUCCCAAUUUAUAUUUUCAGGCACAUCACAACAUUUUCCCCAAACUGGAGUGGAGUUUCUGGAGGUGUUGGGAAGUCAGGGCAGGGAAGCAGCUCCUCCCUGGGAUUGUAGCUUCCUCCUGGAUUUCAGUGGAGAAAAAGCCAGGCCUGGAUUGUUUUCCACCUUUUCCCAGCUCUUUGGGAGCUUCGGGGGGUUUGUUGUGGGUUUCCUGUGUUUGGGGUCUCCUCCAGAGCUGCUCUGUGCUUUUUCUGAGGGAAGGCUUUUCCCAAUUUAUAUUCCUGGUUUGAGGGGCAGGGAUGAGCUGUUGAUCCCAACCCCAGCUCUAAAACUCAGGAGUCCCAGGUUUAAAAUCCCAUUUCAUGGUUUUCCUGACCCUUUUGCUGGCACUCACCACACUUGGGUGUGGAGCUCUGGGAGCCCUCUGGGUGUGCAGCUUUUGCAGGGAGCCUUUGCUAAUUCCCACACGUUAAUCCCAAGUGCUAAUCCCCAAUCAGCCAGAGGAGUUAAUAACUCCUUCCUUCUCUUCCAGGUCGACACACAAUGA
rnacentral:lncRNA from 1 species